rnacentral:rRNA from 1 species
AUCUGCCCUAUGAUUAAAUUUAAAUGGCUGCAGUAUUAUGACUGUGCAAAGGUAGCAUAAUAAUUAGUCAUUUAAUUGUUGACUUGUAUGAAAGAUUGAAUGAAAGAUUAUUUUUAUUAUUUUUAUUUUUAGAAUUUUAUUUUUAAGUAAAAAAGCUUAAUUGUUUUUUAGGGACGAAAAGACCCUAAAGAACUUUAUUUUUAAUGUUUUUAUUAAUUUUUAAUUAUUUUAAAAAUUUUAUUGGGGUGAUAAAUAAAUUUAACUUUAUUUUUUUAUUUCAUUAAUUUAUGAAUUUUAUGAUCCUAUGUUUUAGAUUAAAAGUUUAAGUUACCUUAGGGAUAACAGCGUAAUUUUAAUGGGGAGUUCAUAUUUAUAUUAAAGUUUGCGACCUCGAUGUUGAAUUAAGAAAAAAUAAGGGGGUAG